rnacentral:rRNA from 2 species
GAACGGAACGGUAGCAAUACCGUUUAGUGGCGAACGGGUGAGUAACGCGUGAAUAAUCUGCCUCUUACUUCGGGAUAACGGUUGGAAACGACCGCUAAUACCGGAUAUGACCACGUGCCGGCAUCGGCGCGGGGUGAAAGCUCCGACGGUAAGAGAUGAGUUCGCGUACGAUUAGCUAGUUGGCGGGGUAACGGCCCACCAAGGCUACGAUCGUUAGCCGGCCUGAGAGGGUGAUCGGCCACACUGGAACUGAGACACGGUCCAGACUCCUACGGGAGGCAGCAGUGGGGAAUAUUGGGCAAUGGGCGAAAGCCUUACCCAGCAAUGCCGCGUGAGGGAUGAAGGUCUUCGGAUUGUAAACCUCUUUAAUUGGGGACGAAAUAAUGACGGUACCCAAAGAAUAAGCCCCGGCUAACUAUGUGCCAGCAGCCGCGGUAAUACAUAGGGGGCAAGCGUUGUCCGGAAUGACUGGGCGUAAAGGGUGUGUAGGCGGUUAAUCAAGUCAGAUGUGUAAUACCUAGAGCUUAACUCAGGUGCUGCAUCUGAAACUAAUUGACUUGAAUGUCGGAGAGGUAGAUGGAAUUCCUGGUGUAGCGGUAGAAUGCGUAGAUAUCAGGAGGAACACCAGAGGCGAAAGCGAUCUACUGGACGACAACUGACGCUGAGGCACGAAAGCGUGGGGAGCAAACAGGAUUAGAUACCCUGGUAGUCCACGCUGUAAACGAUGGAUACUAGGUGUAGGGGGUAUCGACUCCCCCUGUACCGUAGCUAACGCAUUAAGUAUCCCGCCUGGGGAGUACGGCCGCAAGGUUGAAACUCAAAGAAAUUGACGGGGACCCGCACAAGCAGCGGAGCAUGUGGUUUAAUUCGAAGCAACGCGAAGAACCUUACCAAGACUUGACAUCGUCCGAAACCCAUAGAAAUAUGGGCCUCGCCAGCAAUGGCGACGGAUAGACAGGUGGUGCAUGGUUGUCGUCAGCUCGUGUCGUGAGAUGUUGGGUUAAGUCCCGCAACGAGCGCAACCCUUAUCAAUAGUUGCCAAUAUUAAGUUAGGAACUCUAUUGAGACUGCCGUGGAUAACACGGAGGAAGGUGAGGAUGACGUCAAAUCAUCAUGCCCCUUACGUCUUGGGCUACACACGUGCUACAAUGGCUAUUACAAAGAGCUGCAAACCGGCAACGGCAAGCCAAUCUCAUAAAAAUAGUCUCAGUUCAGAUUGUGGGCUGCAACCCGCCCGCAUGAAGUCGGAGUUGCUAGUAAUCCCGGAGCAGAGUGCCGGGGUGAAUGCGUUCCCGGGU